CUUCGGGGUGAAGAUGAAAUGGAUUAGCGGCGGACGGGUGAGUAACACGUGAGUAACCUGCCUCUCACAACGGGAUAGCCUCGGGAAACCGGGAUUAAUACCGUAUGACACUAUCAGAUGGCAUCAUCAGAUAGUUAAAGUGCUAGCGGUGAGAGAUGGCCUCGCGUCUGAUUAGUUAGUUGGUGGGGUAACGGCCUACCAAGACGACGAUCAGUAACCGGCCUGAGAGGGUGAACGGUCACAUUGGAACUGAGACACGGUCCAAACUCCUACGGGAGGCAGCAGUGGGGAAUCUUGCACAAUGGGGGGAACCCUGAUGCAGCGACGCCGCGUGAGCGAUGAAGGUUUUCGAAUCGUAAAGCUCUGUCCUAUGGGAAGAUAAUGACGGUACCAUAGGAGGAAGCCCCGGCUAACUACGUGCCAGCAGCCGCGGUAAUACGUAGGGGGCGAGCGUUGUCCGGAAUUACUGGGCGUAAAGGGUUCGCAGGCGGCAUGACAAGUCCGAUGUAAAAGGCGAAAGCUCAACUUUCGUAAGCAUCGGAAACUGUCAAGCUUGAGUGAAGGAGAGGCAAGUGGAAUUCCUAGUGUAGCGGUGGAAUGCGUAGAUAUUAGGAGGAAUACCGGUGGCGAAGGCGACUUGCUGGACUUCAACUGACGCUGAGGAACGAAAGCGUGGGUAGCAAACAGGAUUAGAUACCCUGGUAGUCCACGCCGUAAACGAUGAGUGCUAGGUGUCGGGGGUCAAACCUCGGUGCCGUCGUUAACACACUAAGCACUCCGCCUGGGGAGU
rnacentral:rRNA from 2 species